GUCAGAACUAGAACCCCAGUCUCCUGACUCAUUAGAGAAUCACAUCAUGAUUCUGCACAAACUCAGACAGACCCAGACUUUCCUAUACACUUGUGGCAAAUGAGAGGCUCUUUUCCACUGGGGUUGCCCAGCUACUGUAAUGCAUGCCUGGCGUUGCUGGAGCUGCUGGAUAGGGCUGGGCACUGGGGGAGUGUGCUCUAUGGAGAAAGCCUGCCUGAGAGUGAAACCGUUAUAGUGGAAGGUGUAAGCCAGGAAUCGGGAGACGGGACUUGAGAGCAUUUGAGCCAAUAACCUGUGCCUGAAGCUAGUGCCACCUCUUGGACGUUUCUGUGAUAUUAGCUGCUACAGAGCAGCAUCUGAAGAGCCACGGGGCCCCCACCUUCAUCCCUGAGAAUUUUAGGAGCCAGCCUGCCUUUCCAGGUGACACUGGACACUUUCAUCUGAGAACCCUGUCACAUGACAGUUGUUUCCUUUCUUCCUCCUCUCCUGGGAAUGCUGCUGCUUCGAUGACCCAAGAGCCUAAGAAGGGUAGCUGUUUCUCAAUACACUGAGAGAGAGUUCUUUCUCCGUCCUGACCAUCUUGGGACCCGAUGGCAAGACUGGAAGGAUUUAUAUCUCCUUUUGUACAGAAAACUGCCUCCCCAUGUUGGUUUGUGAAGUGAAAUGCAUAUAAAACAGAGGAUUCCAGACUCUCAGAAGUCAAUACAUAAAUAAAUAAAAAUAAAACUGAGAAGAUACCUCAAAAUGGUCAGACUCAUUAGCAUCAUCCAGGUGUAUUUUCUCUUCAAACAGUGUCAGUGGGUCUCUAAUAAAGAGAUGAGCAACAUGCUGGGCCAGGAGAUGAUCAAUGCCUGCAAAAAGAGAUCACAUGGGAACUCACUGCAAAGCGAGAGAUACCACUUCCUCUUAGUCCAGAAAGACGACAGGAUAGCUCAGGAAGUUUGAAGAAAGGGUGUCUAGAAGCUUGAAAUAGCUGGUUUGAUUAGUAUCCUCACCUCACCCAGUAUUUUAUCCUGCGGACACUGCGGGAGUGUCAGCGUUUUAUUCACUACUUACACAAUGCCUGCUGGGGCACUGGUGUGGACCUAGACACAGACCUCCAAAGUAAGCUCCUUUUGCUAAAAAUCAAGAAAAUCUCACAAGUAUUUGGAACCUGAAACUUUAGGAACAAGUAGCCUCAUGAGAGAAGUUAAAGACUUUGCACUAAAAAUAGAAACCAGACCAGGAGUCAGCAAAAAAGUGUAAAAGAGCUUUGAAGAACUAAAGGCGUACAUUCAAACCCAGAAAGAUGGAGUAGAAACCCACCUUCCUGCAACAGCUGUUCGUAGAUCUCUUUAUCUAUCGUCAA
rnacentral:lncRNA from 10 species